CUUAUUUCUGCUUGAUAGAUUAAUUAAAUGCUUCCUUUUCCCUGUAGCAGGCUUAACAAGUGGUGGCCAUGGAACUUUUCAACAGCGUGGAUAAAACCAUUUAGGGACCUUAGUUAGCCCCUCGCUACCAGCCAGACAUAAAUUCCCUGGGUUCUUGGGGAAAGCAUUUGUCCUGGUGCACUGUCCAUGUAGAGCUGUGCUUGCUUUUGAACACCUCCGUGGCAAUAAAUAAUUUUUCUUCCCAUUUUAGGGUAGAGUUGGGAUUUUGUGGAGUU